rnacentral:rRNA from 1 species
CAGCUAAGGUCCCAAAGUCAUGGUUAAGUGGGAAACGAUGUGGGAAGGCCCAGACAGCCAGGAUGUUGGCUUAGAAGCAGCCAUCAUUUAAAGAAAGCGUAAUAGCUCACUGGUCGAGUCGGCCUGCGCGGAAGAUGUAACGGGGCUAAACCAUGCACCGAAGCUGCGGCAGCGACACUAUGUGUUGUUGGGUAGGGGAGCGUUCUGUAAGCCUGUGAAGGUGGCCUGUGAGGGUUGCUGGAGGUAUCAGAAGUGCGAAUGCUGACAUAAGUAACGAUAAAGCGGGUGAAAAGCCCGCUCGCCGGAAGACCAAGGGUUCCUGUCCAACGUUAAUCGGGGCAGGGUGAGUCGACCCCUAAGGCGAGGCCGAAAGGCGUAGUCGAUGGGAAACAGGUUAAUAUUCCUGUACUUGGUGUUACUGCGAAGGGGGGACGGAGAAGGCUAUGUUGGCCGGGCGACGGUUGUCCCGGUUUAAGCGUGUAGGCUGGUUUUCCAGGCAAAUCCGGAAAACCAAGGCUGAGGCGUGAUGACGAGGCACUACGGUGCUGAAGCGACAAAUGCCCUGCUUCCAGGAAAAGCCUCUAAGCAUCAGGUAACAUCAAAUCGUACCCCAAACCGACACAGGUGGUCAGGUAGAGAAUACCAAGGCGCUUGAGAGAACUCGGGUGAAGGAACUAGGCAAAAUGGUGCCGUAACUUCGGGAGAAGGCACGCUGAUAUGUAGGUGAAGCGACUUGCUCGUGGAGCUGAAAUCAGUCGAAGAUACCAGCUGGCUGCAACUGUUUAUUAAAAACACAGCACUGUGCAAACACGAAAGUGGACGUAUACGGUGUGACGCCUGCCCGGUGCUGGAAGGUUAAGAGGAGAGGUUAGAGCAAUCGAAGCUUUGAAUUUAAGCCCCAGUAAACGGCGGCCGUAACUAUAACGGUCCUAAGGUAGCGAAAUUCCUUGUCGGGUAAGUUCCGACCUGCACGAAUGGCGUAAUGAUGGCCAGGCUGUCUCCACCCGAGACUCAGUGAAAUUGAACUCGCUGUGAAGAUGCAGUGUACCCGCGGCAAGACGGAAAGACCCCGUGAACCUUUACUAUAGCUUGACACUGAACAUUGAGCCUUGAUGUGUAGGAUAGGUGGGAGGCUUUGAAGUGUGGACGCCAGUCUGCAUGGAGCCGGCCUUGAAAUACCACCCUUUAAUGUUUGAUGUUCUAACGUUGGCCCGUAAUCCGGGUUGCGGACAGUGUCUGGUGGGUAGUUUGACUGGGGCGGUCUCCUCCUAAAGAGUAACGGAGGAGCACGAAGGUUGGCUAAUCCUGGUCGGACAUCAGGAGGUUAGUGCAAUGGCAUAAGCCAGCUUGACUGCGAGCGUGACGGCGCGAGCAGGUGCGAAAGCAGGUCAUAGUGAUCCGGUGGUUCUGAAUGGAAGGGCCAUCGCUCAACGGAUAAAAGGUACUCCGGGGAUAACAGGCUGAUACCGCCCAAGAGUUCAUAUCGACGGCGGUGUUUGGCACCUCGAUGUCGGCUCAUCACAUCCUGGGGCUGAAGUAGGUCCCAAGGGUAUGGCUGUUCGCCAUUUAAAGUGGUACGCGAGCUGGGUUUAGAACGUCGUGAGACAGUUCGGUCCCUAUCUGCCGUGGGCGCUGGAGAACUGAGGGGGGCUGCUCCUAGUACGAGAGGACCGGAGUGGACGCAUCACUGGUGUUCGGGUUGUCAUGCCAAUGGCACUGCCCGGUAGCUAAAUGCGGAAGAGAUAAGUGCUGAAAGCAUCUAAGCACGAAACUUGCCCCGAGAUGAGUUCUCCCUGACCCUUUAAGGGUCCUGAAGGAACGUUGAAGACGACGACGUUGAUAGGCCGGGUGUGUAAGCGCAGCGAUGCGUUGAGCUAACCGGUACUAAUGAACCGUGAGGCUUAACCUU